ensembl:lncRNA
AUGUGUUCCAGUCUUUACCUGGGUAGUAGUAGUAGUAGUAGUAGUAGUAGUAGUGGUGGUGAGGUGUGUUCUAGUCUUUACCUGGGCAGUAGUAGUAGUGGUGAGGUGUGUUCUAGUCUUUACCUGGGUAGUAGUAGUGGUAGUAGUGGUGGUGAGGUGUGUUCUAGGCUUUACCUGGUGGUAGUAGUAGUAGUAGUAGUGGUGAGGUGUGUUCUAGGCUUUACCUGGGUAGUAGUAGUGGUAGUAGUGGUGGUGAGGUGUGUUCUAGUCUUUACCUGGGUAGUAGUAGUAGUAGUAGUGGUGAGGUGUGUUCUAGUCUUUACCUGGGUAGUAGUAGUAGUAGUAGUGGUGAGGUGUGUUCUAGUCUUUACCUGGGUAGUAGUAGUAGUAGUAGUGGUGAGGUGUGUUCUAGUCUUUACCUGGGUAGUAGUAGUAGUAAUAGUGAGGUGUGUUCUAGUCUUUACCUGGGUAUUAGUAGUAGUAGUGGUGGUGGUGAAGUGUGUUCUAGUCUUUACCUGGGCAGUAGUAGUAGUAGUAGUAGUAGUAGUGGUGGUGAGGUGUGUUCUAGUCUUUACCUGGGCAGUAGUAGUAGUAGUAGUAGUAGUAGUGGUGAGGUGUGUUCUAGUCUUUACCUGGGUUGUAGUAGUAGUAGUAGUAGUGGUAGUAGUAGUAGUAGUAGUAGUAGUGGUGAAGUGUGUUUUUAGUCUUUACCUGGGUAGUAGUAGUAGUAGUGGUGGUGGUGAAGUGUGUUCUAGUCUUUACCUGGGUAGUAGUAGUAGUAGUAGUAGUAGUAGUAGUAGUAGUAGUAGUGGUGAGGUGUAUUCUAGUCUUUACCUGGGUAGUAGUAGUGGUAGUAGCGGUGGUGAGGUGUGUUCUAGGCUUUACCUGGGUAGUAGUAGUAGUAGUAGUGGUGGUGAGGUGUGUUCUAGGCUUUACCUGGGUAGUAGUAGUGGUGGUGAGGUGUGUUCUAGUCUUUACCUGGGUAGUAGUAGUGGUGAGGUGUGUUCUAGUCUUUACCUGGGUAGUAGUAGUAGUAAUAGUGAGGUGUGUUCUAGUCUUUACCUGGGCAGUAGUAGUAGUAGUAGUAGUAGUAGUAGUAGUGGUGAGGUGUGUUCUAGUCUUUACCUGGGUAGUAGUAGUAGUAGUAGUAGUGGUGGUGAGGUGUGUUCUAGUCUUUACCUGGGUAGUAGUAGUAGUAGUAGUGGUGAGGUGUGUUCUAGUCUUUACCUGGGUAGUAGUAGUAGUAAUAGUGAGGUGUGUUCUAGUCUUUACCUGGGUAGUAGUAGUAGUAGUGGUGGUGGUGAAGUGUGUUCUAGUCUUUACCUGGGCAGUAGUAGUAGUAGUAGUAGUAGUAGUAGUGGUGGUGAGGUGUGUUCUAGUCUUUACCUGGGCAGUAGUAGUAGUAGUAGUAGUAGUAGUAGUGGUGAGGUGUGUUGUAGUCUUUACCUGGGUUGUAGUAGUAGUAGUAGUAGUAGUAGUAUAGUAGUAGUAGUAGUAGUAGUAGUAGUAGUAGUAGUAGUAGUGGUGGUGAGGUGUGUUCUAGUCUUUACCUGGGCAGUAGUAGUAGUGGUGAGGUGUGUUCUAGUCUUUACCUGGGUAGUAGUAGUGGUAGUAGUGGUGGUGAGGUGUGUUCUAGGCUUUACCUGGUGGUAG